CAACAUUGAUCCAGAGCUGCUGACUGUUUGUCCGAGUCCAUUUCAACAAAAAGAAAAAGAAACAGCCAUGAAGGUCCGAGUCUCACUGAUGCUGGUCUUGGCUGCUCUGCUGCUCAGCUCCACUGCGACAUCAGAACUGGGUGGAGUGGAUGGCAAACCGGGAAUUAGAAAUCUGUGUUGGCCUUUAGGAAGAUGUGUCCCUCGACACCAGUGCGCGUGGGUCAUGCCCGGUCAAUGUUCCAACGGAAACGUGUGCUGUCGUGCUCCGAGGCAGCAGUGAUGCUUAGUCAAACCCAAACCCUAACCCUGCACAAACCUCCAAGCAGACAAGCACGGACCCUGAAACAUCCCAGAGAACAUUAUCACACUGUUACACCUACACUUUACCAUCUGCAAACCCGGAGUUUAUGCUUAAUCUGAGAGAUUAGCUCUCAUGAUGAGAUGUGAAGUGUGCAGCUGUGCAAAAAUAAAAGAAAGUGACUCUUCA